GAGUUUUGAUCCUGGCUCAGGAUGAACGCUAGCUACAGGCUUAACACAUGCAAGUCGAGGGGCAGCAUUUUAGUUUGCUUGCAAACUGAAGAUGGCGACCGGCGCACGGGUGAGUAACACGUAUCCAACCUGCCGAUAACUCCGGGAUAGCCUUUCGAAAGAAAGAUUAAUACCGGAUAGCAUACGAAUAUCGCAUGAUA
rnacentral:rRNA from 1 species